rnacentral:tRNA from 1 species
AGCCCUGGGGUGUCAGCACGUUAGAUUGCAAAUCUAAAGAAGUAGGCUAGUCGCCUACCGGGGCUU